rnacentral:misc_RNA from 1 species
AACGCACAUUGCGCCCCGGGGUAUUCCCCAGGGCAUGCGUGGGUGAGCGAUAUUUACUCUCAAACCUCCGGUUUGGUCCUGCUUCGGCCUAAUAUCAACGGCGCUAGAAUAAGUUUUAGCCCCAUUCUUUUUCCUCACCCUCGUAAGACUACCCGCUGAACUUAA